GCCGAGAAACUCUAUGAACAGGAGUGAACAAUUCCUGUUUUUCUGAUUCUCCUUUCCCACCAAAGAUUCCUAACUUUCAACACAGUUGCUGAAGCUUAGGGGGAAGUAUGUAAUGAUGUUUGUGACAAAAAAUAAAUGUGAUCAACUGGUAAAAACAGCCUGAUGUUGUGUCUUCAGUGAAUGUUCCCACUAGCCAGGCUGAGCUUAAGGUGUAUGGUCAACUAAACAAUCCAAAAACCAUGUAGCUCCACAAUAAUCAGAAAUUCUGGAUCCAGUAAAACAAGUCUCCUUUAAGACAUGGCUGAAUGCUGGAAGAAAGUAAAGAAAGUUCCUGGAGUCAAAGAUGAAGUGAGAAGGAAAAAUCAGAGCAAUGCAGUCUCACCCUGUUGCCCAGGCUGGAAUGCAGUGGCACCA
rnacentral:lncRNA from 1 species